AUUGAACGCUGGCGGCAGGCCUAACACAUGCAAGUCGAACGAGUGGCGGACGGGUGGGUAAUGUCUGGGAAACUGCCUGAUGGAGGGGGAUAACUACUGGAAACGGUUGCUACUACCGCAUACCAUCGGAUGUGCCCGGUGGGGUUUAGCUAGUAGGUGGGGUAACGGCUCACCUAGGCGACGAUCCGUAGCUGGUCUGAGAGGAUGACCAGCCACACUGGAACUGAGACACGGUCCAGACUCCUACGGUAGGCAGCAGUGGGGAAUAUUGCACAAUGGGCGCAAGCCUGAUGCAGCCAUGCCGCGUGUAUGAAGAAGGCCUUCGGGUUGUAAAGUACUUUCAGCGGGGAGGCGUUACCCGCAGAAGAAGCACCGGCUAACUCCGUGCCAGCAGCCGCGGUAAUUC
rnacentral:rRNA from 1 species